rfam:Sorghum bicolor cultivar BTx623 chromosome 3, whole genome shotgun sequence.
GGAGGAAGCAUCCAAAGGGAUCGCAUUGAUCCGUCACUCCUUCCAUUCUAUCAUGGGUGGUCGUCGUCUACAAGGACUUCGUUCCCGACGGAUCAUGCGAUCCUUUUGGAGGCUUCCUC